rnacentral:rRNA from 1 species
AUUGAACGCUGGCGGCAUGCCUAACACAUGCAAGUCGAGCGGAUGAAGGGAGCGUGCUCCUGGAUUCAGCGGCGGACGGGUGAGUAAUGCCUAGGAAUCUGCCUGGUCGUGGAGGAUAACGUCCGGAAACGGGCGCUAAUACCGCAUACGUCCUGAGGGAGAAGGUGGGGGAUCUUCGGACCUCACGCUAUCAGAUGAGCCUAGGUCGGAUUAGCUAGUUGGUGGGGUACAGGCCUACCAAGGCGACGAGCCGUAACUGGUCUGAGAGGAUGAUCAGUCAGCCGGGAAGUGAGACAGGGUCCAGACUCCUGAGGGGGGACGCAGUCGGGAAUAUUGGACAAGGGGGGAGAGGCUGAUCCAGCGAUGCGGGGUGUGUCAAGAAGGUCUUCGGAUGGGAAAGCACUUUAAGUUGGGGGGAAGGGCAGUAAGUUAAUACCUUGCUGUUUUGACGUUACCAGCAGAAUAAGCACCGGCUAACUUCGUG